rnacentral:rRNA from 1 species
UGCGGAGGGAGCUAGCGUUGUUCGGAAUUACUGGGCGUAAAGCGCGCGUAGGCGGCUUUGUAAGUUAGAGGUGAAAGCCCGGGGCUCAACCCCGGAACUGCCUUUAAAACUGCAUCGCUUGAAUCCGGGAGAGGUGAGUGGAAUUCCGAGUGUAGAGGUGAAAUUCGUAAGAUAUUCGGAAGAACACCAGUGGCGAAGGCGGCUCACUGGAC